UACGGAGGGUGCGAGCGUUGUUCGGAAUCACUGGGCGUAAAGGGCGUGUAGGCGGUCCGCUAAGUCUGAUGUGCAAGCCCGGGGCUCACCCCCGGAAGGGCAUUGGAAACUGGCGGACUCGAGUCCCGGAGAGGAGGGUGGAAUUCCUGGUGUAGCGGUGAAAUGCGUAGAUAUCAGGAGGAACACCGGUGGCGAAGGCGGCCCUCUGGACGGUGACUGACGCUGAGACGCGAAAGCGUGGGGAGCAAACAGG
rnacentral:rRNA from 1 species